GCCGUGAGCCUUCCAGGGAAUGCUGGGCAGCCUGGUGCCCCGGCUGAAGGCAAGCGGCCACCCUUAGACACCCAAAGACUGGCUGACACAAGAUCUUGUGCUGGUACUGGUGGCUGCCGUGGUGCGGACACAGGCUCAGAGCGCCCAGGUGGACCAAGGCUCUGAUGCUGGUUGCCACCUGCCUGGGAGCAGACUCACAGAGGCCAGCGCAGGGCAGCAGGACAGCAACCUCAGCAGUGAUGAGGAGUCUCUCCAUUAAGGCUGUCCCUCAAGGCACAGCAAGAGACCACCGUCGCCCUUGUCAUUGGGAGCACCGAGAUAAUCCCGAGGAACACUUCAAUGUCCAGGUGUGAUGAUGUCAAGCCACCACAAGCCAGGAGGGAAGUGGCUGCUGGGGCCAAGACAGCAGGUGAAGCAGAACCCUUAAGCCUCAGCUCUUCACCCCUGGACGAAGGAGGUGUUUCUUGGCGGUCAAACUCGGGAGUCACCAGAAAAGACCUCGAUAGAUGAUGCAAGUUUUGCUCGCUGGAGACCA